rnacentral:rRNA from 1 species
GACGAACGCUGGCGGCGUGCUUAACACAUGCAAGUCGAGCGAUGAAACUUCUUCGGAAGUGGAUUAGCGGCGGACGGGUGAGUAACACGUGGGCAACCUGCCCUAUAGAGGGGAAUAGCCUUCCGAAAGGAAGAUUAAUACCCCAUAAGAUUGUAAUUUCGCAUGAAACAGCAAUUAAAGGAGUAAUCCACUAUAGGAUGGGCCCGCGUCGCAUUAGCUAGUUGGUGAGGUAACGGCUCACCAAGGCGACGAUGCGUAGCCGACCUGAGAGGGUGAUCGGCCACAUUGGGACUGAGACACGGCCCAGACUCCUACGGGAGGCAGCAGUGGGGAAUAUUGCACAAUGGGGGAAACCCUGAUGCAGCAACGCCGCGUGAGUGAUGACGGCCUUCGGGUUGUAAAGCUCUGUCUUUGGGGACGAUAAUGACGGUACCCAAGGAGGAAGCCACGGCUGACUACGUGCCAGCCGCCGCAGUAACAC